CGGGACACGUGGUAUCCUGUCUGAAUAUGGGGGGACCAUCCUCCAAGGCUAAAUACUCCUGACUGACCGAUAGUGAACCAGUACCGUGAGGGAAAGGCGAAAAGAACCCCGGCGAGGGGAGUGAAAAAGAACCUGAAACCGUGUACGUACAAGCAGUGGGAGCCUCUUUAUGGGGUGACUGCGUACCUUUUGUAUAAUGGGUCAGCGACUUAUAUUCUGUAGCAAGGUUAACCGAAUAGGGGAGCCGAAGGGAAACCGAGUCUUAACUGGGCGUUAAGUUGCAGGGUAUAGACCCGAAACCCGGUGAUCUAGCCAUGGGCAGGUUGAAGGUUGGGUAACACUAACUGGAGGACCGAACCGACUAAUGUUGAAAAAUUAGCGGAUGACUUGUGGCUGGGGGUGAAAGGCCAAUCAAACCGGGAGAUAGCUGGUUCUCCCCGAAAGCUAUUUAGGUAGCGCCUCGUGAAUUCAUCUCCGGGGGUAGAGCACUGUUUCGGCAAGGGGGUCAUCCCGACUUACCAACCCGAUGCAAACUGCGAAUACCGGAGAAUGUUAUCACGGGAGACACACGGCGGGUGCUAACGUCCGUCGUGAAGAGGGAAACAACCCAGACCGCCAGCUAAGGUCCCAAAGUCAUGGUUAAGUGGGAAACGAUGUGGGAAGGCCCAGACAGCCAGGAUGUUGGCUUAGAAGCAGCCAUCAUUUAAAGAAAGCGUAAUAGCUCACUGGUCGAGUCGGCCUGCGCGGAAGAUGUAACGGGGCUAAACCAUGCACCGAAGCUGCGGCAGCGACACUAUGUGUUGUUGGGUAGGGGAGCGUUCUGUAAGCCUGUGAAGGUGUACUGUGAGGUAUGCUGGAGGUAUCAGAAGUGCGAAUGCUGACAUAAGUAACGAUAAAGCGGGUGAAAAGCCCGCUCGCCGGAAGACCAAGGGUUCCUGUCCAACGUUAAUCGGGGCAGGGUGAGUCGACCCCUAAGGCGAGGCCGAAAGGCGUAGUCGAUGGGAAACAGGUUAAUAUUCCUGUACUUGGUGUUACUGCGAAGGGGGGACGGAGAAGGCUAUGUUGGCCGGGCGACGGUUGUC
rnacentral:rRNA from 1 species